rfam:Oryza glaberrima chromosome 10 Oglab10_0118_38, whole genome shotgun sequence.
AAUAAGUGCAGUUUUGCACUAUUCAUGUUCAACGUUUGACCGUCCGUCUUAUUUGAAAAUUUUUUAUGAUUAGUAUUUUUAUUGCUAUUAGAUGAUAAAACAUGAAUAGUACUUUAUGUGUGACUAAAUGUUUUUAAUUUUUUCACAAAUUUUUCAAAUAAGACGGAUGGUCAAACAUUGAACGUGAAUAGUGCAAAACUGCACUUAUU